CGAUCUGAGAAGAAAACAUGAAGUGAGGCUCCUCUGUUCCCAAAGUUAAGGGAGAAAUCCCCCACCCACACCGGGAUGUCUGGGUCAGGAUGGGUUUUCAUUAAAGCUCCUCUUAAAGAUCUGCUGUGCCUCAAGAGAAACAGCUCUCAAGGCACAGCUAUGACACAGAACAAGCUCCAUCCCCUUGGAAAGAGACUUCCCUUUUAGGAGCCAGAACUAAAUCAAAUUUCAGGAGAAAUAUUAAUUGUGAUGUAUAAUCAUACAAGAAGUUGCAAGUUGAGUGCUGGAAGAGCAGAGAGUCAGGAGUGCUGAUGACUGCUGCCUCGAGGAGAGGGGCACACAGUUCCUACAGCAAUGGAGUGAAAGCAAGACACAUGAAUUCUGCUCUUGACGAGAUGGCAUCCAGCCACGUCAUUGCCUUACCUAAUACACCAGGCUCCCAUCUCUAAAAUGUGAAUAUUCACUUACUUCACAUGAUGGUGGUGAGAAGCAGCCACACUUAGCUGCUCAUUUGCUAAACUCUCUGCUGAAAAGUACCAUAAAGGAGCAGAUAACUAUCAUUCAUUUCAUGCUAACUGAUAAUCCACACUACUAAGCUAUGAAGCCUUGCAGAAGAGAACUCUUAACUUAUUCCCAGAAAUACGGUCACUGGUUUAGUCUACCCUCCUCUAUUCAUAUUCUCAAUAUGAA